rnacentral:rRNA from 1 species
UACGUAGGGUGCAAGCGUUGUCCGGAAUUAUUGGGCGUAAAGAGCGUGUAGGCGGCCCCUUAAGUCCUGCGUGAAAUCCUGCGGCUCAACCGCAGACGGUCGUGGGAAACUGGAGGGCUAGAGUGCGGGAGAGGAGAGUGGAAUUCCCGGUGUAGCGGUGAAAUGCGCAGAUAUCGGGAAGAACACCCGUGGCGAAGGCGGCUCUCUGGGAAACAACUGACGCUGAGGAACGAAAGCGUGGGUAGCAAACAGG